GUGCCAGCAGCCGCGGUAAUACGGAGGGUGCGAGCGUUAAUCGGAAUUACUGGGCGUAAAGCGCACGCAGGCGGUUUGUUAAGCUAGAUGUAUAAGCCCCGGGCUCAACCUGGGAUGGUCAUUUAGAACUGGCAGACUAGAGUCUUGGAGAGGGGAGUGGAAUUCCAGGUGUAGCGGUGAAAUGCGUAGAUAUCUGGAGGAACAUCAGUGGCCGAAGGCGACUUCCCUGGCCAAAGACUGACGCUCAUGUGCGAAAGUGUGGGUAGCGAACAGGAUUAGAUACCCCUGGUGGUCC
rnacentral:rRNA from 1 species